UUACUCUCCGGUAACCUAACUUCUCAUAGACAUACAGUUGGGUCAAUUUUGUAAUUUUGUCCACCUAGCCUUUGAAAGGAAGGGUGAAACAUCUAAAACAAUUCAUAUAUGUUGGAACAAGUUCAUCUACAACUCCAAAAAUUAUGUGGGUACGGUGCUGGUUGUACAACGAAGAAAAUAUAAUUUUCUCAAGCCCACAUAUAAGGAAUAGCAUUUAUGAACAGGUUAGAUUAUUUUUAGAUUACAACCAAAGGUAGUACAAAAGGCCGUGCCCUUGGUCCAGACCCCAGACUUGACUUUCCCCACCAGCUUUCCAAGUUCCAAUCCUCCCCCGGGCGCCGGGCCCCGGCACAGUUGCGCACGUGAGCGAUGAGCAUACAAGUCUCCACUCACUGGCGCUAGUGGCAGCAGCAGAACUUUGACGAGACCACCGAGGAGAGCGAGAGACUCGCAUCCGCAUCCGCAUCCGCAUCCGCAUCCGGAUGACUCCGUGCACGGGGGAAGCGCGAGCCCGCCGGCCGGUCAAGGUCCAGGACCGACAAGUCGCUGGCCGGCCACUUGCCGCUGGUGGCCUGGGGUGGAGCGGCCAAGUCCCACCUGCCGACCGGGGGCCCCGGCCGAUCCUUCCGUCUCCGUGGGUGGUUCCACGCGACGCGCGGCGGGCGGGGCUACUUCGCUAGCGGCUAGCUUUUCCGGGGACGCAGGCGGCGGCCGCGACCGCCGCUCGCAUCUUCGACGGGGUCCACGCGACGGCGACCGCAUCCAAGCCAGUGCGGCCCGGCCGGGCCGGCCGGACGGCAUCGAGCAUCGUCGUCGCGCCUGCGCGGAGGUGCCUGCGGCGACUUCGUCUCGCGCG
rnacentral:lncRNA from 1 species